rnacentral:rRNA from 1 species
UACGUUCCCGGGCCUUGUACACACCGCCCGUCAAGCCAUGGAAGAUGGGAGUACCUGAAGUCGAUAACCGCAAGGAGUCGCCUAGGGUAAGUACCGUUGACUGGGGCU